AACGAACGCUGGCGGCAGGCUUAACACAUGCAAGUCGAACGGAUCCUUCGGGAUUAGUGGCAGACGGGUGAGUAACGCGUGGGAACGUACCCUUUGCUACGGAAUAACUCAGGGAAACUUGAGCUAAUACCGUAUGUGCCCUACGGGGGAAAGAUUUAUCGGCAAAGGAUCGGCCCGCGUUGGAUUAGCUAGUUGGUGGGGUAAUGGCCUACCAAGGCGACGAUCCAUAGCUGGUCAGAGAGGAUGAUCAGCCACACUGGGACUGAGACACGGCCCAGACUCCUACGGGAGGCAGCAGUGGGGAAUAUUGGAAAAUGGGGGCAAGCAUGAUCCAGUCAUGACGCGUGAGUGAUGAAGGUCGUAGGAUUGUAAAGCGCUUGUACCGGUGAAGAUAAUGACGGUAGCCGGAGAAGAAGCCCCGGCUAACUUCGUG
rnacentral:rRNA from 1 species